rnacentral:misc_RNA from 1 species
UCCAAUUUGGUUCUCAUUAGUUGCUUCUGAUGAUCAGGAAGAAGAUGCACUCUUGCCACAGAUAUCUUCAUGCUACUUGAGGGUUAAGGAUGGCAAUUUACCCGUUUCAUCUAUUAAAAAGUAUCUGGUGCAAAAGCUGGGUCUUGCUAGCGAGGCUGAGGUAGAAAUUUCACUAAAUGGCCAGCCGGUGCUUUCUACGUUGCAGUUGCAUCAUUUGGUAGACAGGUGGUUGCAGAUGGCACCAACAGCCGAAAGAAUACGGACAAGUGUUGGCAGCUCAGCGAAAGAGUUUGUGAUGGUUCUGUCAUAUGGUCGAAAAACUCAUCCUCCAUGAAAUAUUUGGUUCAUGGUCAUGCUUCAUUCAAUGGCAUGGCAGCAGUGAUUUCAAUCCAGUUGAUCUAAGACAUCUAUUUUUUUGCCACCAUGCAAUCGCGUGUUGGAACGUGGAAAUCCAAAUUUCUCGUCUUCAUUACGAAUGUAAACAGGUUCAAUUUGCUAUGACAUGUGGUGCAUAAACUGUUCUUUUACAUUCGUGGAUUUUCCUUGUUUAGUAAAGGUAUAGAAAUAGUAGAAAUUAUAGAGAAAUACAGAAACAACAGAGAAUAGAAGAAUACUGAUUUUCAAUUCACAAGCUGAGAGAUUUUGGUUUGAUUAAUGUCAGAAUCCAUUGAACAAAGGUCGCUGUAAGAAAGCAGGACAUGCACAGGAUUCAUGUCGCUCGCCUAACAAGUUGAGAUGAGAUGAUAUGAUCGUCUUAUAAGAUCUGAAAGUCAAAUUUUCGCUGAGCACUCUGGAUUAGCUGUGAACUCCCUUCUGUGCUGAUGCCGGCACGGGCAUAUUUACUGAAAACUAGAAGGAAAAUGUAAUAUUUUCUCCAUGGUUGAAUUUAUAUGCUAAAGUAAAAACUUUUCUUUCUUUAAUUUGCGCA